GAAUAAAGAAUAAAGAAUGGCUAAUGUUAAAGAAUGGCAAAUGCUAAAGGAUAGCUAAUAUGGAAAAGAAUGAUUAGCGAUAAAGAAUGGUUAAGAGUAAAGAAUGAUUAAGAAUAAUGAGUAGAAUUAACUAAUCUACUUGGAUAGUUGCAUGAUUUGCAUGUUGCAUAUUGUGAGGCAUGGAUAUGGUGAUGUUAGAUGCAUAAAUAUAUAUAUCUGUGAAUAUCUCUUUAAUGAGUUUG
rnacentral:lncRNA from 1 species